rnacentral:rRNA from 1 species
AGAGUUUGAUUAUGGCUCAGGAUGAACGCUGGCGGCGUGCUUAACACAUGCAAGUCGAACGGAGUUUUUAAACGGAAGUUUUCGGAUGGAAGUUUAAGAACUUAGUGGCGGACGGGUGAGUAACGCGUGGGUAACCUGCCUCAUACAGGGGGAUAACAGUUAGAAAUGACUGCUAACACCGCAUAAUAUAGUGAAACCGCAUGAUUUUUGCUAUCAAAUAUUUAUAGGUAUGAGAUGGACCCGCGCCUGAUUAGCUAGUUGGUGGGGUAAAAGCCUACCAAGGCGACGAUCAGUAGCCGGCUUGAGAGAGUGACCGGCCACAUUGGGACUGAGACACGGCCCAAACUCCUACGGGAGGCAGCAGUGGGGAAUAUUGGACAAUGGGGGAAACCCUGAUCCAGCCGACGCCGCGUGAGUGAAGAAGUAUUUCGGUAUGUAAAGCUCUAUCAGCAGGGAAGAUAAUGACAGUACCUGACUAAGAAGCCCCGGCUAACUACGUGCCAGCCGCGGC